AUCAGCAUCCAUAUCACAUUGUAAAUACCGAUUCUCGUCUGAUCACCGAAGUUAGGUGGCGUUGGGCCCAGUUAAUAAUUGUAUGACUGAUUGGAUGGAAAAAUUGGGUGUUGCCGGCU
rnacentral:rRNA from 1 species